AUCUGAUCAACCAUAAAGCAUCUUACAUAACAGGAUGUAGGUACAUUUCAUUCUUCUAUUGUGAUUAGACACAGGAUCAUCUCAUUAUACAGCUGAGUGAAACCAGAAGAGGCUCUUCACAUUGUUAUACAACUCACAGUUGGAACCCUUUUUUUUCCUCUUGUUUCCAAAAAUAUGUGUAAGCACACUACAGACGACCUGGAAAACCUCUCUGCAGUCAUCACACGGUUUCCCUGGAGCUUCCUGUUUAGGAAAAUUAGCACAAACAGACAAUAAGAAGAAAACAUCAGUCUCGUUAGUACGAACGACACAAAUCCCUAUCUGGGCUGCAAGUUAUUGCUCUAUUAUCUACUGUCUAAUAUGAUUUCUUCCUGUCAGUGAGGACAGUAUAGCAGCCAGAAGCCAUGGACAUGAAAAAGAGGUGAGGAUUGUUCCCUCUACUGUCCAGCUCAAGCUGCAUCUCUGUGCAGCAAAGAAUUUUAGAACACACUCUACAAAAAAGCAAGCACAACUCAACAUGGAGGUGGUCAGGACUGCUGUCUGAGGGGAGCUUCUCUGGCAUCAGACCACCUAAAGUAUUUCCAUAUUUUUUCUCUUGGUGUCAAAAAAUAAAAAUAAAAAAGGAAAAAAAGUCCA
rnacentral:lncRNA from 1 species